GCGAUCCCAGGUCAGGCGGGGCUACCCGCUGAGUUUAAGCAUAUCAAUAAGCGGAGGAGAAGAAACUAACGAGGAUUCCCUUAGUAGCGGCGAGCGAACCGGGAGGAGCCCAGCAUGAAAAUCGUUCGCCGUCGGCGGCCGAAUUGUAGUCUGGAGAAGCGUCCUCAGUGACGGACCGGACCCAAGUUCACUGGAAGGUGGCGCCGGAGAGGGUGAGAGCCCCGUCGUGCCCGGACCC
rnacentral:rRNA from 4 species